rnacentral:rRNA from 1 species
UAGUCAUGCUAGUGAGGAAUCAACUUGAUGGUUUGUGGGGGUGGAGAAGAGGCGUUGGACGGACUUGUCAUGGCCGGCGCCGGAUACACUGCUGGGGACGGAGGAAUGCGGCGUGUGCCCUCCGUGUGGGGGCUGGGUUGACUGGUGUGUGUGUGGGAUGCGUUGUGGGCAGCGUGCUGAGCAGCGACGUACUCGUGGACAUGCGGCAGCUCAUCGACAGACACGCCUCGGAUGUU